AUGCAGUUCCGGGCACACCAGCUCCCUUCCCGGUCCAACCCCUGGAAAGUGCUCCUCAGGCACGGAGAUGCUGCUCACUCGCACUAAUGGACACUGGCUCAUUCAUUUCUCAUAACAGCCCCGGGAGGCAGGAACUGCCACUCUUACCUCCUGGAAGCUAAGAAUACCCAGGUCCAGGGGACUGAGGGGACCUGCCUGAGGUCAGACAGCUGGUCAGCAGCACGGCCAGGGUUCAGCUCAGGCUGACUGGCUGACUCCUAGGUGUGGUCUUGACUGUCACCCUCUCCAGAUGGAUUCUUUACCAUUAACGCCACCUGGGGAGUUCCUCUCCAGGCCUGCGCUCCCCUCCUAGCACCAGGAUCAGGGAUGCUGAACAUCACAGAGGGGAGUUCCCUGGCUGUCCAAUGGUUGGAACUCCACGCUGCCGCUGCCAACAGUGCACGUUCAAUCCCUGGUUGGGAAACAAAGAUCUUGCAAGUUUCAUGGCAUGGCCAAAGAAAAGGGGUCACAUGGGCCCCAUACCCUCUGCUGCAGGUGCCCUGAACCAAGUGGGUCCCAAGAUCAAGAUGAACACUCCUACCCCGUAUAGGCCUGUGACCGUGGGAAACACAGAGUGGUGGGUCAUAACAAGUACCCUGUCAAGUACCUCAGCAAGUACCCUGUCAAGGUUGGCUCAUGUUGUUUCAGGGGUCUGUGGACACCCCCUCCCCAGAGUCUCUGCAUGGGCCCUAAUUAAAAAAUUCCUUUUCUCUGUCUUCUCUGUCACUCUCUCCAUCCAAAUAUGUCUGCAGCCCUACUGUGUGCAGGCUCUGGGAUGUAUCCGUGAACCUUGCCCGGUACCCAUCCCUUGGCCAGGGCUCACAGACCACUAGAGAGGCAGACAAUGCCAGUUACAGCUGCGAAUGAUUGGUGAAGGGGCAGAGUGCCUCAGAGCUCAUGGGAAGGAGGCACUCAUUCCUCAAAGGCAGGGCAUCUAGG
ensembl:lncRNA